rnacentral:rRNA from 1 species
AGAUAAUAGAUACCCCGGUAGUCCACGCCCUAAACGAUGUCAACUGGCUUUACGGAGUAUCGACCCUCUGUGAGGCGAAAGCUAAACGCGUUAAGUUGACCGCCUGGGUAGUACGACCGCAAGGUUAAAACUCAAAGGAAUAGACGGGGGCUUGCACAAGCGGUGGAGCGUGUGGCUUAAUUCGUCGCUAAGCGAAGAACCUUACCAGGGCUAGAAAUCCUACUGCACGUCUAGCGAAAGCUAGAAAGCCUUCGAGGGUGUAGGACAGGUGAUGCAUGGCUGUCGUCAGUUCGUGGUUUGAAUCGUUCCCUUCAGUGGGGUAACGAACGCAACCCUCGUUGCCAGUUACAAGUGUCUGGCGAGACUGCCCCCUCACGGGGGAGGAAGGUGAGGAUGACGCCAAGUCAGCAUGUCCCUCUGAUGUCCUGGGCUGCACACGCGCUACAAUCGCCUUUACAAAGGGACGCAAUGCGGUAACGCGGAGCAAAUCCUAAAAAGAGGCGCCAGUUCGGAUUGGGGUCUGCAACCCGA